rnacentral:lncRNA from 1 species
AUGGAGACACACCAAUUAAUACCAUGUGUUGAUGAAGAUGGAAAGAAAAGACAGCCGAAACCGACUGCUAAGGCUUUGGAGAAUCAGAUUGAAAGGCUUCAAACUGAACGUCACACUAAGAUUAAUAAAAUUAAAAGGGUCAUAAAGGUGAUUAAGGAAUUAAAGCAAUCUGAGGAUAAUGUUUCUACUGUUCAGGCUCAGUUAGAGAAUUUGUCUGUGUUGCUUAGUGAGGCAACUUGUCUGCAUGAAACCUUGCUUCCUUUGCUUCCUCAAGAAGAGCAAGAAAAACAAACUGCUUGGUUUAUAAGUGUGCGAGCGCAUAAUACUGAGUUUAUGGAAGAGAUAAAGAAAUGGCUUCAUGAUGCAAAGGGAAACCCUCAGAGUAAAAAUCAGGUGUCUGAGCUUGAUUUGCCUCAGUUAAAUCCACCUGGUGUUGAUUCCUCUGAUGUAUUACCUGCUGGAAAUGGUUCUGGUGCUUCUAGGCACGCCGGGAAUGUUGGUAAAGGUGCUGCGAUAGAUGAUGUUAAUCCAAGUGAUAGCAUCUCUAAUGUUGGAAACAAAAGUUGUAGGAAAAGUAAAUCAUCACUCAGUGGCUCAAUGGUUUCAUCUGCCUUGUCAGCACGCAUAACGGCAGAGGCUGACAUGGCUGCCCUUCUUGUUCGACAGAGGUUGUUGAAAGAAAAGCAUGCUUUGGAGGAACAAGAAAUACAGCUUAAGAAAAGAAAGGAGCUGCUUGACUUAGAAACUGAAAUAGCAGCCUCAGCAGCAAAGGUGAAUGUUUUGAAAGCUUCUGAAAUGUCCCGAGUCUCAAGUGCUGUUAAUGGUAAAUCUGAUGGAAUGAAUUCGUACUUAGAACGAGAGCAGGGGCGUUUAGGUGUUUUAAAUCCUAAUGCUCCGAUGUUCAAACCUGUGUUACCAGAGCGACCAUAUCAGGGUGUUGAUGCAAGUGAUCAUCAAGCGCAGGUAUUGGAUGUAAGGCCUAAGGUUAAAAAUAUUUCUCAGCCCAAGGUCGUUUCAUUGGAACAGUCGGAGACGAAGCCACAAGUAUUUCCAGGUGCAGUUUCGACUACUCAGGUGAUGUCGCAGUCUCACACACAACCAAAACAUCUUACACAUACAGUGCAAGGAAGUGAGGGUCAUGAUCAUCUAGUCACCGUCUUGAAGAAACAAAAUGAAAUUACAACUUUAUUGGCUGAGCAGCAGUCUCUGUUUUUGCUGCCAAGGCGUGACAUUCAGUUCUUUGAUGGUGAUCCUUUGCAAUAUCAAACAUUUAUGAGAGCUUUUGAGCACAUGGUGGAGAGACAAGCUCACAGUGCUAAGGAUUGUUUAUAUUUUCUCGAGCAAUACACUAGAGGCCAUCCAAGAGAAAUGGUCAGAAGCUGUCAGUAUAUGCCUGCCGAGUAUGGAUAUGCUAAAGCUAAAUCUUUGCUCCAGGAGAACUUUGGCAAUUCGUUGAAAAUUGCUGCUGCCUACAUUGAAAGGGUCAGUAAAUGGCCACUUAUAAAAUCUGAUGAUGUGAAGGCUUUGCAGGAAUAUGGGUUUUUAUUAAGGCAAUGUUGCAAUGCAAUGGGAGACGUUGAGUCCUUGCAUGAGUUGGAUGUCUCUGCUAAUAUGCAAGCAGUUAUAAAGAAGUUGCCUUAUAAGCUUAGGGAUAAAUGGAGCAAUGUUGCCUGCGAUCUGCAGGAGAGGUUUCAACGUAAAGUGGGUUUUAGCGAUGUUGUUGAGUUUGUUGAAAAGCAAGUUAAGAUCGCAAGUGACCCAUUGUUUGGAGACAUAAAGGAUCCUCCAACAGCCAUCAGACAGGAGGCGAGGAAUGUUAAGUCUCAGUUUUACCCUAAGGCUAAGAAGAGUAGUUUUGCUACUACAGUGGCCAAGGUGGAAGGGAAGAUUGAGCCAGCGUUGAGGCGAGAGAGUGGUUCAGUUGUGACCAAGGUUUGCUUGUUUUGUGGAGCAGGACAUAUGUUGGAGUUGUGUCCUUCAUUUGAAAGAAAGUUGCACUGUGAAAGAUUAUCUUUUUUGAAAGAGAAUGGUGUGUGUUUUGGUUGUCUGCGCAUUGGGCACAGAAGCAAGGACUGCAGGAAACGUCUCUUGUGUAAAGUCUGUAAUCAGAAACACCCCACACUCUUACAUAUCCACUCCAAGCAGAGGGAAAGUGUUUCAGUGCAAACUAUAGGAGGGGGAGAACCACCAGAUGAAGGUCCUUCAUGUGCUGUGCAAAGCAGUGGUGUUACUGGGGCCGGUGAGCAAAAUAGUGCUCUAGCCAUAAUACCAGUUAGAGUGAAGUCCAAGAAAGGUAAUCAGUCACUGAUAACUUAUGCUUUCCUAGAUCCUGGGAGCUCAGCUUCAUUUUGUACUGAAGGGCUCAUGAACAGGCUGAAUCUUUCAGGAAGGAAAACUGGCAUUCUGUUGCGGACAAUGGGUCAGGAGAAAAUGGUCAGUAGCUAUGUGGUCUCAGAUUUGGAAGUAGCUGGUUUGGAUUUAGAUCACUACUGUGACUUGCCUGACUUAUUUACUCAGAAAAGCAUGCCUGUUCAACAAUGCAAUAAUUCCCCGACAGGAAGAUCUGGAUAG